CGUUAUCGUUUGGGGAACACAACUCAACCCCAAACAGGACCCGUGAAGUCCUUGGCAUGCGGUUGCAAAGGCAUGGUGCAGAAUUCCGUCUGAGACUGCUUUGUGUGGACGCUGUGGUCUCUGACUCUACACUGCACCUUCUCCCUGCGAUCUUCCGGGAAGCUCUUCUGGUUGGUAAUCAAGUUGACAGUCACUCCUGAAGGCAGUUAACUUCCCGUCACAUCCCUUCACAGCCUCACGGAAGACCCUCUGUGACUUGAGGUCGUGAGCUGCCGAAUCCAGGUCUGACUUGCCUUCCCUCAUUUGGGAGGUGGGCGGUGGGCCAACGCAUCUCGUUCCAGGAAGCUGUGAGUAGAACAGCCAUGUUCACAUCAUUUGAACAAUACGAACAAGCAAAUCUGCCGUCAUCAUGGAUGCGUGGAAGGGAAGGGCCCAUGCUGUGUCUACCACGAACCAGGACACUUCACGUUCAACUGGCCGAGUUGGUCGGGAGUUGGUGAGAAUGAUGCCAAAGCUUGAUCCUGAGAAGCGGGAAUGAGAGGUGUCUACCUGGAGGAAGGCAUGGAGAGGAACAGACUUGAGGAUGAAAAUCAUGACUUUGGACAUGGUUGAGUUGGAGGCAUCUGGCAGACACCAAAGUGGAGAUGAUGGGUUGGCAGCUGCAUAUAAAACUAUUCAAUUAUGUCUGACAGUCGUUACCUUUACAAAAUCUAAAUCUUAAUGCUUUUUUCCUUUGAAUUCUUUUGUGAAAAUA